rnacentral:lncRNA from 1 species
UACCAGUAGGAGCUAGGCAUCGACUGACUUACUUAAUCGACUUGCGAUGCUGUUUUUUUUUGUCGGGGAUUAGCGCAUCGAACCUGCAGCCUUAAUGCCUUACCUUUAGAGCCCCCUAUGUUAUCAAGGGGAUUGAUUUCGAUCGAUUGGUAAAAAGUUUAGAAUAUCGCCUCGAGAAGUCUGCGGAACGAGUUUACCAACCCACCAGCCAGGAAAGAGGAAUUGUGUAGGAUCGAACCGAGAAUGAAUAGAGAAGGAAGAGUUUCCAACCCGUGAUUGAAAAGCCAUUGCUUCAGGUUCGGGGAGAUUCAGCUUUGCUAGGGAUUUCAAGCUCGACACCUUUAACCGAACCUUGAUUAUUAAGUAAUAAGCUGACCUUUUUCCCUAUCCCAAAGAAAUGGAUCCUCGGAUAUGAAAUUGGUUAUUCCGUCCCGGCCGGGAGAUAUAAAGGGUAUAGCGAAGAUCACGAUGGGGCACCAGCAGUACAACCAUCUCCCUAUUCGGUUCGGUCGGGCGAUGAAGAAGAGAAUUGUUUGGAGUGAGAGAAGAAGCUAAAGAUGGUCAAGUGGCAACCGACCUGGACAUUUGAUUCGGAUGAGGGAGGCCGGGGAAAUUCGAAUAGAACAAUUGAGUGGGGGAUAGGGCGACAUAGCCGCCGGGAUAGGGGUUCAAUGAUGGAGGGCCAUUUAAAGGAAGGAAUAGCCGUCAUGCCCAACCCGGCGAAUAGUUUGUAGUUGUCUUUGCCGGGGAAACGGAACUAAUACCGGAAUUGGACGACUACUCACUAGUUGGUAUGGUUGGCCGGAGGAGGGGAGAGAAGAACCCCAGACGAACUUUCCUUCCCACUUACUCCGAAAGAGAUACGUAAUGGGUUGAGGUCCAGUGCAUCAAUCAUAGUAGUUUAAGUCCAGAAGUAGCCUGGAAAUCGCUCACACUAUAUACAUGACAGCCCCAAAGCACUCUUGGUAUCAAGUCAUGCCCCGCGUACUCUCUAUAAUGCCCAUCUACCACCCCGGAAAGAUCAUCUUAGCAAACGUGAUGUCGAGACAUCAAUCACAAGUAAGCGUUAUGCCAGCCGGCCGUACGGACCACAUCAUGAGAAAAGAGCACAUCCCGGAGUGAAAAUCACCCCUGGACGAGACAUGAGAGAAUGCGGGAGAAUCAAUAGAUGAAUUCGCUAGGGGGAGACCAACCCUUGCAUACCAUGGAGACCAUGCUUUUGCACGCAUACGAGGGAUAAAAGUGACCAGUCCAGAGCGUCAGAUCGAAUGGCUGGUGGGAGUGCGCGUACCCCAUGUAUCGUUAGUAGUCAGUCUUUUGCCUCUAAUAAUCUUUCGCUAUAUGGAACUACUAAAAGCUAAGAGGGCACCGAAGUAGUAUAGGGGAGCAGGAGAGGAAGAAGUCAAGGUACCACCAGAAGAAAGCCAGCAAAGCCAGAAAGAGCCAAGCUAGCCCACAGCACUCCUACUACCAAAGCCAGCCAUCAGUAACAUGCCUUCCCGUCUCAGCUUAUCCACCACUACCUUCAUCACCAGCACCAGCAGCAGAGAUGGUAGCAUCAUAGGUUCCAGCCGCUCGGUAUGGUAUGUAGAGCUUGCCUGGAUUUUUCUUUUGAUUUGGAUGGUUAUGCUCAUACCUGCUAAUUGAAUGCUCGGGAAAGGCACGUCUUCCCCUCUACUCACUCGACUAUGCGCUUUUCAUGAGGAGUGGGCCCGUCCCACCUCUGCUUCUCCAAAGUCAUAGCCGGGCGCUGCGUUCGAUUCCUACACUGUUGGGCUCAGGUUCCUUCCUCUUCUAAGCCAGCAUACCUUUUUCCGUUUUCUCAGGGUGACUUAUACCCCUGUCCUUCUCUAUUCUGGUGGAUCUGAUUCAGCGUGGUACAUCCGGGGGGGACGAGCCCCCAUCUUCCUUAUAAGACUUUCCGGUCCUCCCUCUAGCACUUUUCUUUCUUUAUUCAAUUACACAGCAAGCUUCAAGGUGUUUUAAGACCUCGUGCACCUUAACUCUAGCUUCGCAUUGCCAUAUACCUCCUCCUUCGGGUUAGGAAGGACAUCUUUCUUUGCAAGAGCUCCGCUAGUAUACUAAUAGGCUCGUGCACAGAUUUACGUUUAUUUACUGACAGGAAAAGUUGGCUUACGUUCCCCUCUCCCGGGAACGCUUCUAUCCUGCCACCGUUCUGUACCAUGGUGACGAAGUUGGGCAACUCUACCUUUCAGUUUUCCUCGAAGGUCGUCUAAUGCCGCUGCUAAUAAGCGGUUAGGGUCCCUACCGAAUGGCCUUGUUGUACCUCACUCUCGUUCUCGUCUUCACGUGCUAUUAGCCUGUGCCCUUCUUUCUACUGGGUCUUCGCCUCUUUCAUUAUUGCCAUUGAUUUGAUUGAGAUUCACUCAUGAACUCUGGGAAAGAGCUAUCUAUUCCAGCGAGCCUUGCAAGCCCGUAAAGAGUUAGUUAUUAUAGUUAUUAGACGAUGGGGGACCGCCCAAUCGGCGGGAAGCUUUAU